UUUUCUUCUAAACUUAUUGUUAAAACUAUUUAUUGUAUAACAUUUUUGGAUGGUUUUAGUAAUGUCACUAGCAUAAGCAGAUGCCAGCAAAAUGUAUCGUAUCAGUCACACAUAAGUAAAUUGCUACAAAACUCAAGAAGUAAAUUGUGAAGAAAAUUUCCUUCUGAGGGAAAUAUGAUCUCAAAUGACAUGUUUUUUAGUGUUCAACUUUUAUUUUCGAUGCAGGGGGCACAUGUACAGUCUUGUUAUAUGGGUAUAUUGUAUCCAGGUGGUGAGCAUAGUACCUAAUAGUAAUUUUC
rnacentral:lncRNA from 1 species